rnacentral:rRNA from 1 species
AUGUUAAGACUUGAGAGUAGGAUGAUUCAGAGUGUGCAGAAGCUCAGCUCCAGCCACACCCAACACCUGAAUCUGCGAAACCGCCAUACUACUGUGUCUGAUUUGUGCAGUUGUAUACGUCCCACGGCAUCCUGCGAGAAUCUAGGCAUAGCCGAUGGUGGAAAGUUUUUUGUGUCAUGUUUAGGUCAUUCUUCCGUAUCAGAUUUAUCUAUGCAAAGCCUUGACAAUGCUUGCUCUGUUUUUCAGGCAAAAAAGAAAAUCGUUGAUCGCUUGAGGCUUCUUAAAAAAAAGCUGGAUGUAACACAUGCAAUGGAAGCACAGGUACUAGUACUCCUGUUUUGA